rnacentral:rRNA from 1 species
UUGUACCUACGGGGGGCAGCAGUAGGGAAUUUUCGUCAAUGGGCGCAAGCCUGAACGAGCGAUGCCGCGUGAGUGAAGAAGGCCUUCGGGUCGUAAAGCUCUGUUGCGGGGGAAAAAAGGCAGCAUCAGGAAAUGGGUGCUGACUGAUGGUGCCCCGCCAGAAAGUCACGGCUAACUACGUGCCAGCAGCCGCGGUAAUACGUAGGUGGCGAGCGUUAUCCGGAAUGAUUGGGCGUAAAGGGUGCGCAGGCGGUCCUGCAAGUCUGGAGUGAAAAUCCAGUGCUUAACGU